rnacentral:misc_RNA from 1 species
AAAAAAAUCAUUCUAUGGAAGCGGUAUGUUGACAAUCAAUUGUUUUCUAGAGGUUUGGAUUUUCCUUUUGCUGAUUUUGAAAUUAUGCAACAUUGUGGAAGCAGUAAAUGGGAAUUGUACAUCUCCAGAAACAGUGUCCAAUUGGUACAUUUGGUGAAAAUUGUACGGAAAAUUGUCCAGAUGGGACGUAUGGCGAAUUGUGUUCACAGCGAUGUGAUUGCAAAAUAAAUCAACGAUGCAAUUUAUUGUUUGGAUGUUUGGAAUGUCUCAAUGGUACAAAUAGCACAAACUGUGUGGCAAGGUGUCCGGACAAUAUGUAUGGUAAAUCAUGCUCACUGAAAUGUCAAUGCAAAAGGAAUCAAAAGUGCGAUCGUAUCUUUGGAUGUAUAGAUUUAGAACCGCAAUUCACAUUCACCACUCUUACACUCCUGAUGAUAUUAGCGGGCUUAUUGAUCAUUAUUAGUAUUGUAAUAGGUGUCACCGUGUGUGUUGUUAAAAGAAACAACUUGUAAAGAAACUAUAGCGUGUAUCAAUAACCUGUACCUGCACUCAAUAGUGGGUAUAAACAAACUCAAUUAUCAGAGAUAGAACAAGAACACUACCAAACUCUUUUCUGAUGAAUCAAAAGCUUUUCAUUUAUACAUGUUUACAUAAACUUAAUUUUUGCAAGCUAAUUUGGCAACUUAGUAAAAAUACCAUCAACAACCAUUAGAUUUGUACAUCUUAAUGUUAAAAGUAGAUCAUUGCAAUUGCAUGUAAAUGUCAAGUUGUUAUGAACUCAUAUUAUAUAUUAUAAAACAUAUAUCGU